rnacentral:rRNA from 1 species
CCUACGGGAGGCAGCAGUGGGGGAUAUUGCACAAUGGGGGAAACCCUGAUGCAGCGACGCCGCGUGGGCGAAGAAGUAUUUCGGUAUGUAAAGCCCUAUCAGCAGGGAAGAAGAAAUGACGGUACCUGAGUAAGAAGCACCGGCUAAAUACUUGCCAGCAGCCGCGGUAAUACGUAUGGUGCAAGCGUUAUCCGGAUUUACUGGGUGUAAAGGGAGCGCAGGCGGCACGGAAAGCCUGAUGUGAAAGCCGGGGGCCCAACCGGGGAACGGCAUGGUGAACUACCGGCCUGAGGGGCGGGGGGGGAAGGGGAAGUCCCAGUGUAGCGGUGAAAUGCGUAGAUAAUUGGAGGAACACCAGUGGCGAAGGCGGCCUACUGGACGGUGACUGACGCUGAGGCUCGAAAGCGUGGGGAGCAAACAGGAUUAGAUACCCGAGUAGUC